GAUGAAGAACGUAGCGAAAUGCGAUAAUUAAUGUGAAUUGCAGAAUUCCGUGAAUCAUCGAGUCUUUGAACGCACAUUGCGCCUCAUGGCAUUCCGUGAGGCAUGCCCAUCUCAGCGUUAGAAAAUAUUCUCAAAUUUUAGUUUUGUGCUAAAAUUUGGAUCAUGUCAAGGAAGCUAUUACUAUUAUUGUGAUCGCUCUUUGGAAAUUGAUAGGUCUUUGAGUUGCUACUCAUAGAACGUGAUGAAUCUUUCUUCGUUCUAUUGUAAUUCACUCUGGUAGUCCUAAAACUUGUAUGCCUGUGGCAUAUCUUGUAAUUUGACCUGAGAUUGGGUAGGGAUACCCGCUGAACUUAAGCAUAUCAAUAAGCGGAGG
rnacentral:misc_RNA from 1 species